UACAGAGGGUGCUAGCGUUAAUCGGAAUUACUGGGCGUAAAGCGUGUGUAGGUGGUUAGAUAAGUUAGAUGUGAAAUCCCCGGGCUUAACCUGGGAAUUGCGUUUAAGACUGUUUAGCUUGAGUACUGUAGAGGAUAGUGGAAUUUCCAGUGUAGCGGUGAAAUGCGUAGAUAUUGGAAGGAACACCAGUGGCGAAGGCGACUAUCUGGAUAGAUACUGACACUGAGACACGAAAGCGUGGGGAGCAAACAGG
rnacentral:misc_RNA from 1 species